GAUUGCAUUCAACCACCUCUCUGCAAUCGCGGCUG
rnacentral:ncRNA from 1 species